rnacentral:rRNA from 1 species
CUCGUAGGCGGCCAACUAAGUCAGACGUGAAAUCCCUCGGCUUAACCGGGGAACUGCGUCUGAUACUGGAUGGCUUGAGAUUGGGAGAGGGAUGCGGAAUUCCAGGUGUAGCGGUGAAAUGCGUAGAUAUCUGGAGGAACACCGGUGGCGAAGGCGGCAUCCUGGACCGGUAUUGACGCUGAGGCGCGAAAGCCAGGGAGCAAACG